AUUGAACGCUGGCGGCAGGCCUAACACAUGCAAGUCGAGCGGAUGAAGGGAGCUUGCUCCUGGAUUCAGCGGCGGACGGGUGAGUAAUGCCUAGGAAUCUGCCUGGUAGUGGGGGAUAACGUCCGGAAACGGGCGCUAAUACCGCAUACGUCCUGAGGGAGAAAGUGGGGGAUCUUCGGACCUCACGCUAUCAGAUGAGCCUAGGUCGGAUUAGCUAGUUGGUGGGGUAAAGGCCUACCAAGGCGACGAUCCGUAACUGGUCUGAGAGGAUGAUCAGUCACCCUGGAACUUAGCCACGGUCCAUACUCCUACGGGAGGCAGCAGUGGGGAAUAUUGGACAAUGGGCGAAAGCCUGAUCCAGCCAUGCCGCGUGUGUGAAGAAGGUCUUCGGAUUGUAAAGCACUUUAAGUUGUGAGGAAGGGCAGUAAGUUAAUACCUUGCUGUUUUGACGUUACCAACAGAAUAAGCACCGGCUAACUUCGUG
rnacentral:rRNA from 1 species